CAAAGGGGGUGCCCAACCAGUUGGCAUAGCCAGCAGGGCUGAGAACAGACCCUUGGAACCUGAUCCGGAUAAUACCGGCGGAGGAAAUUUUAU
rnacentral:ncRNA from 1 species